GAGGCUGAGUAGAGCAAGCAGGAGCGACAUAGGGGAUAGGAGAGUAUAGAUACAUAUAAGACGGUGUGCGCGAUGAGGUCAUCGCGUGGUUUUUUAACCGCGCCGGCAGUCGUGAAGCAGACCGCUCGAAAGCCGGCUGUCUUACGUUCGUUUCUGCUCUCUCGUGAUUUUUCUAACUCGGUGCCACGUGCCCGAGAGUUUCGUUCCUUAGCUCUUUUUCAAUUAUUUUUUUUGUUCGCGAGUUGGAGAAAUAUUUGGACAUUAGAUUUGCGUUUCUUAAAAUUAAGAAAACAUAAAGCAUUAUAUUUUAAUAAAUGUCGUCUUCUUAUCAUCGUCUCACGGAUCCUGAUUCCUAACCGAGUUAUCGUCCUGGACAACAAAUUUUCAUUAACGGAUUACGAUCGAGCAGAUCCACGAGUCAUAAAAUCGUUAUACACCGCUAGACACAUGACCGAUUUAAAGUUCGACCGGUCGAUCAAACGACGAACGUCUCUGAGCUGCCAUAGAUCACGUUUUAACAACUUGCCUGUUUUUCAUUUGGAAGUUAUGAAGAAGCGAGUCUAUGCGCACGCACACGUCGCUCGAUGUCGAUAGCUUUUCAGCCGAGCUCGUCGAGUUCGAUCGAAGAGGGUGGAGGAGUUGGAGGAGGAGCUGGAGGAACUGGAGAAGGAGGUGGAGGAGGAGGAG